rnacentral:misc_RNA from 1 species
GAACGCACCUUGCGCCCUUUGGCUAUUCCGAAGGGCAUGCCUGUUUGAGUAUCAUGAACACCUCAACUCUCGUGGCUUUGCCAUGAUGAGCUUGGACUUUGGGGGUCUUGCUGGCCUGCGGUCAGCUCCUCUCAAAUGAAUUAGCUUGCCAGUGUUUGGUGGCAUCACGGGUGUGAUAACUAUCUACGCUUGUGGUUUUCCACCAGGUAACCUUCAGUGAUGAAGGUUCUCUGGAGCUCAUAAAUGUCUCUCCUCAGCGAGGACAGCUCUUUGAACGUUUGAUCUCAAAUCAGGUAGGACUACCCGCUGAACUUA